UAUUAUUAAUUUCUUAAUUUUUUUGAUUAUUAUUAGUUAUGUUCUUUAAAAAUCAAAGAUUUUGGCGGUUAAUUAAUUCUUUUUAGAGGAACAUGUAUUUUAAUUGAUAUUCCACGAUUUUUUAUACCAAAUUUUUAUUUGUAUAUCUCUAUUUUGAAGUUUAUUUAAAUAAUUUUCUUUUUCUUUUUGAAGUUGUAUUUUAGGUCAAGGUGCAGUUUUUUUUUGGUUUUUAUGUGUUACUUUAAUUUUAUAUAAAAGUUUUUCUUAUUGGUUAUUUUUAGGAUUUAAUAGUAAAUUUGUUUAAUUAAUUAUUUUGAAUUUAGCUCUAAUUAAUGUACACAUC
rnacentral:rRNA from 1 species